UCUUCUGUUUGUAUAAUCAUU
rnacentral:piRNA from 1 species